rnacentral:lncRNA from 1 species
UAGGUUGGGAAUAGGAUUAUUGGGAAGAAAAUUCAUGUUAGGGUGGAGCAUGUGCAGCCGUCGAGGUGCAGGGAGGAGUUUAAGUUGAGGAAGAAGAAGAAUGAUGAGUUGAAGGCUGAGGCCAAAGCUUGUGGUGAAAAGAUUAGCACUAAGAGGCAGCCUCAAGGACCUAAGCCUGGAUUUAUGUUGGAGGGUGCUACUCUUGAAACUGUCACUCCCAUUCCUUAUGAUGUGGUCAAUGAUCUCAAGGGUGGUUAUUGAUUUUUCUUAUUUAUGAUUUCCUAUGCUUUCAGUGUUAUCAAGAAUUUCUCGUGUUUUGUGAGACGUGGAUGAACGUGUACUUUUGUUAUGUGUAAUUUAGCUUAAUACAAAGUAGACUACUAUUAUUUAGCAUUAUCCUUUCGUGUGAGAUAUGUUUG